CCUAAAGGCGUAAUGAAAGUAAAGAUUGUUCUCYGCAACAAUUGAGGGAGGAUGAGUUGCGUCACGAUGCUACUCCGCACUCCCGGGGCGUCUCGUUCUUAUUGCAAGAAGAGGCGCACCCAGAGCGUACACGUUGGGACCCGAAAGAUGGUGAACUAUGCCUGUCAGGACGAAGUCAGGGGAAACCCUGAUGGAGGUCCGUAGCGAUUCUGACGUGCAAAUCGAUCGUCGGAACUGGGUAUAGGGGCGAAAGACUAAUCGAACCAUCUAGUAGCUGGUUCCCUCCGAAGUUUCCCUCAGGAUAGCUGGCACUCGCGAGUUCUUAUGAACUUAUACGAGUCUCAUCUGGUAAAGCGAAUGAUUAGAGGCCUUGGGGCCGAAACGACCUCAACCUAUUCUCAAACUUUAAAUGGGUGAGAUCUCUGGCUUGCUUGAAUAUAUGAAGCCAUGAGAUUUCGGAUCAGAGUGCCAAGUGG
rnacentral:rRNA from 1 species